rnacentral:rRNA from 1 species
GAACGAGAAAGCUUCCUUCGGGAAGCAAGUAGAGUGGCGCACGGGUGAGUAACGCGUAGGUAAUCUACCCUUAUGACUGGGAUAACAUUGGGAAACUGGUGCUAAUACCGGAUACACUUCUUUACUGCGGGGUAAAGGAGGAAAGGUGGCCUCUUCAUGAAAGCUACCGUAUAGGGAUGAGCCUGCGUACCAUUAGCUAGUAGGCGGGGUAACGGCCCACCUAGGCAACGAUGGUUAGCGGGUCUGAGAGGAUGAUCCGCCACACUGGAACUGGAACACGGACCAGACUCCUACGGGAGGCAGCAGUGAGGAAUAUUGCGCAAUGGGGGAAACCCUGACGCAGCGACGCCGCGUGAGUGAGGAAGGUUUUCGGAUCGUAAAGCUCUGUCAGAAGGAAAGAAGUGUUAUAUGUUUAAUACGCAUAUAAUUUGACGGUACCUUCAGAGGAAGCACCGGCUAACUCCGUGCCAGCAGCCGCGGUAAUACGGAGGGUGCAAGCGUUGUUCGGAAUUACUGGGCGUAAAGGGCGCGUAGGCGGCUGGAUAAGUCAGAUGUGAAAGUCCAUGGCUCAACUGUGGAAGUGCAUUUGAAACUGUCCGGCUUGAGUAUCGGAGGGGAGUGUGG